AUUGAACGCUGGCGGCAUGCUUUACACAUGCAGGUCGAACGGCAGCGCGGGCUUCGGCCUGGCGGCGAGUGGCGAACGGGUGAGUAAUGCAUCGGAACGUGCCCAGUAGUGGGGGAUAGCCCGGCGAAAGCCGGAUUAAUACCGCAUACGACCUGAGGGUGAAAGCGGGGGACCGAAAGGCCUCGCGCUAUUGGCGCGGCCGAUGUCGGAUUAGCUAGUUGGUGGGGUAAAGGCUUACCAAGGCGACGAUCCGUAGCUGGUCUGAGAGGACGACCAGCCACACUGGGACUGAGACACGGCCCAGACUCCUACGGGAGGCAGCAGUGGGGAAUUUUGGACAAUGGGGGCAACCCUGAUCCAGCCAUGCCGCGUGCGGGAAGAAGGCCUUCGGGUUGUAAACCGCUUUUGUUCGGGAAGAAAUCCUCUGGGCUAAUACCCCGGGGGGAUGACGGUACCGGAAGAAUAAGCACCGGCUAACUACGUG
rnacentral:rRNA from 1 species